GCUUAACACAUGCAAGUCGAGCGGUAAGGCCCUUCGGGGUACACGAGCGGCGAACGGGUGAGUAACACGUGGGUGAUCUGCCUCGCACUUCGGGAUAAGCCUGGGAAACUGGGUCUAAUACCGGAUAUGACCUUUCAGUGCAUGCUGUUGGGUGGAAAGAUUUAUCGGUGCGAGAUGGGCCCGCGGCCUAUCAGCUUGUUGGCGGGGUAACGGCCCACCAAGGCGACGACGGGUAGCCGACCUGAGAGGGUGACCGGCCACACUGGGACUGAGACACGGCCCAGACUCCUACGGGAGGCAGCAGUGGGGAAUAUUGCACAAUGGGCGGAAGCCUGAUGCAGCGACGCCGCGUGAGGGAUGACGGCCUUCGGGUUGUAAACCUCUUUCGACAGGGACGAAGCGCAAGUGACGGUACCUGUAGAAGAAGCACCGGCCAACUACGUGCCAGCAGCCGCGGUAAUACGUAGGGUGCGAGCGUUGUCCGGAAUUACUGGGCGUAAAGAGCUUGUAGGCGGUUUGUCGCGUCGUCCGUGAAAACUUGGGGCUCAACCCCAAGCUUGCGGGCGAUACGGGCAGGCUUGAGUACUUCAGGGGAGACUGGAAUUC
rnacentral:rRNA from 1 species